rnacentral:piRNA from 1 species
CUUGUUAAUAAAUAACUCUUGGUGUAAGAA